AUGGAGAUAUGGGCUGAACAGAGGAGGGCUUCACUAGAAAAUACUUUCAAGUUGAACAUUCAAACUUCAGGUUCAGAUUUGCUACCAAAGUUUGAAAGGUGUUAUAUGUGUUUUAAUGAAAUAAAGAAACCUAUGGAAUUGGCUUGUAGGCCAUUUAUUGAAAUGGAUGGAUGUCAUAUAAAACACAAGUAUGGUGAAAUUUUAUUAAUAAUUGUGGGAAAAGAUUCUAAUGAUCAGUAUUUGCCUAUUGCAUUUAGAGUGGUAGAAACUGAAUCAAAGAACACUUGA